GAAGGGGCCGGGGCGGGGUGACAUCUGCCCAGCCCCUGUGGAUUCAGCUGACUUUUGCUGGCUCGGUAUCUCCCUCCUCUCCCAACAUUCUUCAUGCAUCCCUUCUUGAAGAUGCACGCUCAAAGAAAAUGACUUUCCCAGCAAAAAGAGACCAUUCUUCUGGCAAGUGUAUCUUCCCCAGUUUGUUAUGAGACCUGAUAAGAUAAUGGAUAUAAAAAUGCUUUGAGGGCUUCCCUGGUGGCGCAGUGGUUAAGUGUCCGCCUGCCAAUGCAG
rnacentral:sRNA from 1 species